UACGUAGGUGGCAAGCGUUGUCCGGAUUUACUGGGCGUAAAGCGCGCGCAGGCGGCCGGCCAAGUCCGAUGUGAAAGGUCCCGGCUUAACUGGGAAACGGCAUCGGAAACUGAUCGGCUUGAAGGCGGGAGAGGGUAGCGGAAUUCCCGGUGUAGUGGUGAAAUGCGCAGAUAUCGGGAGGAACACCAGAGGCGAAGGCGGCUACCUGGCCCGUUCUUGACGCUGAGGCGCGAAAGCUAGGGGAGCAAACGGGAUUAGAAACCCCCGUAGUCC
rnacentral:rRNA from 1 species